ACGCUAGCUACAGGCUUAACACAUGCAAGUCGAGGGGCAUCAGGAAGAAAGCUUGCUUUCUUUGCUGGCGACCGGCGCACGGGUGAGUAACACGUAUCCAACCUGCCCUUUACUCGGGGAUAGCCUUUCGAAAGAAAGAUUAAUACCCGAUAGCAUAAUGAUUCCGCAUGGUUUCAUUAUUAAAGGAUUCCGGUAAAGGAUGGGGAUGCGUUCCAUUAGGUUGUUGGUGAGGUAACGGCUCACCAAGCCUUCGAUGGAUAGGGGUUCUGAGAGGAAGGUCCCCCACAUUGGAACUGAGACACGGUCCAAACUCCUACGGGAGGCAGCAGUGAGGAAUAUUGGCCAAUGGGCGGUAGCCUGAACCAGCCAAGUAGCGUGAAGGAUGAAGGCUCUAUGGGUCGUAAACUUCUUUUAUAUAAGAAUAAAGUGCAGUAUGUAUACUGUUUUGUAUGUAUUAUAUGAAUAAGGAUCGGCUAACUCCGUGCCAGCAGCCGCGGUAAUACGGAGGAUCCGAGCGUUAUCCGGAUUUAUUGGGUUUAAAGGGAGCGUAGGUGGACUGGUAAGUCAGUUGUGAAAGUUUGUGGCUCAACCGUAAAAUUGCAGUUGAUACUGUCAGUCUUGAGUACAGUAGAGGUGGGCGGAAUUCGUGGUGUAGCGGUGAAAUGCUUAGAUAUCACGAAGAACUCCGAUUGCGAAGGCAGCUCACUGGACUGCAACUGACACUGAUGCUCGAAAGUGUGGGUAUCAAACAGGAUUAGAUACCCUGGUAGUCCACACAGUAAACGAUGAAUACUCGCUGUUUGCGAUAUACAGUAAGCGGCCAAGCGAAAGCAUUAAGUAUUCCACCUGGGGAGUACGCCGGCAACGGUGAAACUCAAAGGAAUUGACGGGGGCCCGCACAAGCGGAGGAACAUGUGGUUUAAUUCGAUGAUACGCGAGGAACCUUACCCGGGCUUAAAUUGCAGUGGAAUGAUGUGGAAACAUGUCAGUGAGCAAUCACCGCUGUGAAGGUGCUGCAUGGUUGUCGUCAGCUCGUGCCGUGAGGUGUCGGCUUAAGUGCCAUAACGAGCGCAACCCUUAUCUUCAGUUACUAACAGGUCAUGCUGAGGACUCUGGAGAGACUGCCGUCGUAAGAUGUGAGGAAGGUGGGGAUGACGUCAAAUCAGCACGGCCCUUACGUCCGGGGCUACACACGUGUUACAAUGGGGGGUACAGAAGGCAGCUAGCGGGUGACCGUAUGCUAAUCCCAAAAUCCUCUCUCAGUUCGGAUCGAAGUCUGCAACCCGACUUCGUGAAGCUGGAUUCGCUAGUAAUCGCGCAUCAGCCACGGCGCGGUGAAUACGUUCCCGGGCCUUGUACACACCGCCCGUCAAGCCAUGGGAGCCGGGGGUACCUGAAGUACGUAACCGCAAGGAUCGUCCUAGGGUAAAACUGGUGACUGG
rnacentral:rRNA from 1 species